rnacentral:tmRNA from 2 species
GGGGGCGUCCUGGUUUCGACUGGUGAUUGGAACGGUUGGCUGCAUGCCGAGGUUGAUCGGUUGGCCUCGUAAAAAGCCGGUCAAAACAAUAAACGCGAACGAAGAACCUGAACUUGCGUUGGCAGCCUAAUUAGGUUGCCCGUUCCCCGGCGAAUGUCUGUUACGUCGGGGGACGCCACUUAGCAGACUGGCCCUCCUCCGGGCAUCCGGGAGGCUGGCGAGAGGUUACAGGAUGAUCGGAGGGAAGGGAUUCCGCCUGUCGAAGCCCCAGCUCCUAAAUUCAAAGAUCAGGAUAUGCAUGUAGACGCUGACCCGGAUGGUUAUCAGGACAGGGGUUCGAUUCCCCUCGCCUCCACCA